rnacentral:lncRNA from 1 species
UUACACACUAAAUGAUUUCCACUCUUUUUAGCUCAUAUUCCAGUCCAGAGUCCUGGUUUAAAAGGGAGAUGAUGAGCAGUACCCUUCUGUCACCAGAAGAUCCCGCAGGAAGCUGCAAGGCUGAAGCAUUUUUGGGUGGACUGAACUUCCACUCAUUGUGGUACUGAAUUCUUUACUAUGGAGAUGUAGAAGAGAUAGUUUCUGGAGUGAUGAGGGAUUUGGUGAAGCUGUUUGCUCUCUGAAACAAGACAGUAAAGGCUGAACAACUAAAAUGGAUCAUUUCAGAACUCUGGCCAAUAUCCAAAGCCACUGAAAGAACUGAAAACCACCCAAGAUAAGCUGCCAAGCCCCGAUGAAGCAGUGGGACCUGUGAAGUGUCGUUUUAUUUAUUUGGCUGGGACGAGUCUUAGUUGCAGGACGCAGGAUCAUCAAUCUUCCUAUACGUUCUUUAGUUGUGGCAUGAGAACUCUCAUUUGCAUCACGUGGGAUCUUAGUUCCUUGAUCAGGCAUCGAACCCAGGUCCCCUGUUUUGGGAGUAUGGAGUCUUAGCCACUGGACCACCGGGGACAUGCCUGUGAAGUUUUAAUUUGGAGCUAUUUCCAUUUCCUUCUUUCCCCAGUUCAGUGGUGUAGAAACCAAAAUCCAGCUGCACCAUAAAGGAUAGAGAGAUGUGAAUUCUUUUUGGUCUCUGUUAAAAGCACAGUCCCCUAGAGCACUGCCAAUUUGUUGUCCCAACUUGGAGCUCCCUCAAACAUCAGAGUAUGUCAGCUAUUUCACUUGAUUCAGAGCUUGGGUGGGGUAAAGGGGGCUUACCCCAGGGCAUCAGUGAGGCAGUGGAAAAUAAAACUGACAGCAUUUAAAUUAUCUGAGGUAGU